UUUAUGGAGAGUUUGAUCCUGGCUCAGGAUGAACGCUGGCGGCGUGCCUAAUACAUGCAAGUCGAGCGAACAGAUAAGGAGCUUGCUCCUUUGACGUUAGCGGCGGACGGGUGAGUAACACGUGGGUAACCUACCUAUAAGACUGGAAUAACUCCGGGAAACCGGGGCUAAUGCCGGAUAACAUGUUGAACCGCAUGGUUCUACAGUGAAAGACGGUCUUGCUGUCACUUAUAGAUGGA
rnacentral:rRNA from 1 species